rnacentral:lncRNA from 1 species
AUCAUAAUUUCAUGAAAAUGAAAAGAAAGAGAAUUAUGGUUUGGACUGGCCUUGUCAUGUGGAAUAGCCUGCCAGGAGUUUAUGCCUGGGACAGCCUCCACAGGCUUAUGUGUGGAAGAAUAUGAUCCAAGAAAGAUCAUGAAGAAUCUGAUCCGAGAAAGAUCAUGAAUGAUUUGAUCCGAGAAAGAUCAUGGCCACUUUGAU